AAUACCGCAUAACAGUAGAUGUUGCAUGACAUUUGCUUAAAAGGUGCAAUUGCAUCACUACCAGAUGGACCUGCGUUGUAUUAGCUAGUUGGUGGGGUAACGGCUCACCAAGGCGACGAUACAUAGCCGACCUGAGAGGGUGAUCGGCCACACUGGGACUGAGACACGGCCCAGACUCCUACGGGAGGCAGCAGUAGGGAAUCUUCGGCAAUGGACGGAAGUCUGACCGAGCAACGCCGCGUGAGUGAAGAAGGUUUUCGGAUCGUAAAGCUCUGUUGUAAGAGAAGAACGAGUGUGAGAGUGGAAAGUUCGCACUGUGACGGUAUCUUACCAGAAAGGGACGGCUAACUACGUGCCAGCAGCCGCGGUAAUACGUAGGUCCCGAGCGUUGUCCGGAUUUAUUGGGCGUAAAGCGAGCGCAGGCGGUUAGAUAAGUCUGAAGUUAAAGGCUGUGGCUUAACCAUAGUACGCUUUGGAAACUGUUUAACUUGAGUGCAAGAGGGGAGAGUGGAAUUCCAUGUGUAGCGGUGAAAUGCGUAGAUAUAUGGAGGAACACCGGUGGCGAAAGCGGCUCUCUGGCUUGGUAACUGACGCUGAGGC
rnacentral:rRNA from 1 species